GAUGAACGCUAGCGGCAGGCUUAACACAUGCAAGUCGAGGGGUAGAAGUUGCUUGCAACUUUGAGACCGGCGCACGGGUGCGUAACGCGUAUGCAAUCUACCUUAUACAGAGGGAUAGCCCAGAGAAAUUUGGAUUAAUACCUCAUAGUAUAAUUGAAUGGCAUCAUUUAAUUAUUAAAGUUCCAACGGUAUAAGAUGAGCAUGCGUCCUAUUAGCUAGAUGGUAAGGUAACGGCUUACCAUGGCAACGAUAGGUAGGGGUCCUGAGAGGGAUGGCCCCCUCGAUGGAAGUGAGACACGGACCAGACUCGUACGGGAGGCAGCAGUGAGGAAUAUUGGACAAUGGGCGCAAGCCUGAUCCAGCCAUGCCGCGUGCAGGAAGAAGCAUCUAUGGUGUGUAAUCUGCUUUGGUACGGGAAGAAACACUCCUUCGUGAAGGAGCUUGGCGGUACCGUAAGAAUAAGGAUCGGCUAACUCCGUGCCAGCCGCCGCAGUAAAAC
rnacentral:rRNA from 1 species